AAGAAGGGUGAGAAUCCCUUCCACCGAAUGCCUAAGGUUUCCUGAGGAAGGCUCGUCCGCUCAGGGUUAGUCGGGACCUAAGCCGAGGCCGAAAGGCGUAGGCGAUGGACAACAGGUUGAUAUUCCUGUACCACCUAUACAUCGUUUGAACGAUGGGGGGACGCAGAAGGAUAGGGUAAGCGCGCUGUUGGAUAUGCGCGUCCAAGCAGUUAGGCCGGAAACGAGGCAAAUCCCGUUUCCAUUAAGGCGGAGCUGUGAUGGCGAGGGAAAUAUAGUACCGAAGUUCCUGAUUCCACGCUGCCAAGAAAAGCCUCUAGUGAGAUGUAAGGUGCCCGUACCGCAAACCGACACAGGUAGGCGAGGAGAGAAUCCUAAGGUGUGCGAGAGAACUCUCGUUAAGGAACUCGGCAAAAUGACCCCGUAACUUCGGGAGAAGGGGUGCUUUUUAGGGUGAAUAGCCCAGAAAAGCCGCAGUGAAUAGGCCCAGGCGACUGUUUAGCAAAAACACAGGUCUCUGCGAAGCCGCAAGGCGAAGUAUAGGGGCUGACACCUGCCCGGUGCUGGAAGGUUAAGGGGAGAGGUUAGCGCAAGCGAAGCUUUGAACCGAAGCCCCAGUAAACGGCGGCCGUAACUAUAACGGUCCUAAGGUAGCGAAAUUCCUUGUCGGGUAAGUUCCGACCCGCACGAAAGGUGUAACGAUCUGGGCACUGUCUCAACGAGAGACUCGGUGAAAUUAUAGUACCUGUGAAGAUGCAGGUUACCCGCGACAGGACGGAAAGACCCCGUGGAGCUUUACUGCAGCCUGAUAUUGAAUUUUGGUACAGCUUGUACAGGAUAGGUAGGAGCCUGAGAAGCCGGAGCGCCAGCUUCGGUGGAGGCGUUGGUGGGAUACUACCCUGGCUGUAUUGAAAUUCUAACCCGCGCCCCUUAUCGGGGUGGGAGACAGUGUCAGGUGGGCAGUUUGACUGGGGCGGUCGCCUCCUAAAGAGUAACGGAGGCGCCCAAAGGUUCCCUCAGAAUGGUUGGAAAUCAUUCGUAGAGUGUAAAGGCACAAGGGAGCUUGACUGCGAGACCUACAAGUCGAGCAGGGACGAAAGUCGGGCUUAGUGAUCCGGUGGUUCCGCAUGGAAGGGCCAUCGCUCAACGGAUAAAAGCUACCCCGGGGAUAACAGGCUUAUCUCCCCCAAGAGUCCACAUCGACGGGGAGGUUUGGCACCUCGAUGUCGGCUCAUCGCAUCCUGGGGCUGUAGUCGGUCCCAAGGGUUGGGCUGUUCGCCCAUUAAAGCGGUACGCGAGCUGGGUUCAGAACGUCGUGAGACAGUUCGGUCCCUAUCC
rnacentral:rRNA from 1 species